GACGAACGCUGGCGGCGUGCUUAACACAUGCAAGUCGAACGAAGAGCGAUGGAAGUUUGCUUCUAUCAAUCUGAGUGGCACACGGGUGAGUAACGCGUAAUCAACCUGCCCUUCAGAGGGGGACAACAGUUGAAAACGACUGCUAAUACCGCAUACGAUCUAAUCAAGGCAUCGAGGAUAGAGGAAAGGUGGCACCGACACGUAAGCUAUCAGUGAAGGAGGGGGUUGGGGUUGAUUAGCUCGAUGGAGGGGUAAUGGGCCAACCAGGCGAGGAUCAGUAGGCGGGCUUGAAAGAAGGACGGCCAACACGGGAAUGAGACACGGCCCAAGCUUCUACCGGGAGGAGCAGGGGGGAAUCUUCCGCAAUGGACGGAAAGCUGGCUGAGGAAAGCCGCGGGGGAGAUCGCGGGCUUCGGGUUGGAAAGCUCUGUUUAUCGGGAAGAAAGGCCUUCUUGCGAAUAGUGAGAAGGAUUGACGGUACCGUAAUAGAAAGCCACGGCUAACUACGUG
rnacentral:rRNA from 1 species